ACUACAUGAAGCUGGAAUCGCUAGUAAUCGCGGAUCAGAAUGCCGCGGUGAAUACGUUCCCGGGUCUUGUACACACCGCCCGUCACACCAUGGGAGUCGGAAAUGCCCGAAGUCUGUGACCCAACCUACGGGAGGGAGCAGACCGAAGGCAGGUCGGAUGACUGGGGUGAAGUCGUAACAAGGUAAC
rnacentral:rRNA from 1 species